rnacentral:lncRNA from 1 species
GAAGCUCGCCAAGGGAGCCUGUCAGAAAUGAGUUUUUCACUGAACUUUACACUGCCAUUGAAUACAACUUCCUCUCCAGUUGCCACGAGUGCCAAAGCCACACCUCCGAAGGUUCCUGCAUGCAUAAAGUGCACAUACACAUUAAAUAAAUAAGUAAAUAAAAAGCAAGCAAACAAACAAACACACACAUACUCCAGCAAAUUCACAGAGCAUGGAGAGAAGCAGCCAGGGAUAGAAGAGUCCAUGCCUAUGUUUGCAUCCGUAUGUUGGAAACCAGACAAGAAGCAUCUACAGUGAUAGACUUCAGGAUGGUAGUCACAGGACUGUGGUCCGUCUGUUGGACUGGCAGCUGGAAUCCCAUCCCUGCUGGCCACAGCUCUGCUGGUAGCCUUGCUGUUUACCCUGAUCCAGCGAAGAAGAACCACCGAUGAGCCCAUCGAGGAGACUGAGGCUCCAUGUGAAAUUUCAGAACUCUAUGACAAUCCCAAGAUAUCCGAGAAUCCUAGGCAGUCACCCACGCAUGAAAUGAACCCACGAGGUGCUCAAGAAGGUCACAUAUAUGUGAAGACUGUCUCAGGAAGUGA